rnacentral:snoRNA from 1 species
UGCCUUUGUGUUGCCCAUUCAUACUGCCUUUGGUGAAUGUGGUGUCAAAAAAGGCAUAUAUCAACUGUAGCUGUCAUGUGAUUGAUUAUUCAUUUUUCUCUGCAUUUCAGCUAGAACAUAC